rnacentral:lncRNA from 1 species
UCCCUUGAACAGCAAAAGCAUCUCUAGAUAAUAUUAUAGAAGGUAUUUACUUAAAAAUUAUUUAUUAAUUCAUGUAAUUAAAAAAAAAAAAGGUUAGUAUCUCGGUCUCUCAUCCUCUAUGGGAUGUGGCACGUCUCUACAAGCUUGGGACUGACAAGGUUCGACCUCCGUAAAUAAGGGCCAAAUCCUACCACAAAUAUAAAUCCCCCG